rnacentral:rRNA from 1 species
GAUGAACGCUGGCGGCGUGCCUUAUACAUGCGAGUCGAGUGGGUUUAGACCCACGGCCCACGGGUGAGUAACACGUAGGUACUUUCCUUGUCACAGGAAUAACCCUCCGAAAGGAGGGCUAAUACCUGAUGUGAUCGCAAGAUUAAAGGGUAUCCGCAAGGAUUACCGGACAAGAAGAGGCCUGCGGCCUAUCAGCUAGUUGGCGGGGUAAAUGCCCACCAAGGCUAUGACGGGUAGCUGGUCUUAUGAGGAUGAUCAGUCACAUGGGCACUGAGACACGGGCCCAACUCCUACGGGAGGCAGCAGUAGGGAAUUUUGCGCAAUGGGCGAAAGCCUGACGCAGCGACGCCGCGUGCGGGAUGAAGGCCUUCGGGUCGUAAACCGCUUUUAUAAGGGACGAACUUUGACGGUACCUUAUGAAUAAGAGGUUGCUAACUCUGUG